AUUGAACGCUGGCGGCAUGCCUUACACAUGCAAGUCGAACGGUAACAGGUCUUCGGAUGCUGACGAGUGGCGAACGGGUGCGUAAUACAUCGGAACGUGCCCAGACGUGGGGGAUAACGAGGCGAAAGCUUUGCUAAUACCGCAUACGAUCUAAGGAUGACAGCAGGGGACCGCAAGGCCUUGCGCGUUUGGAGCGGCCGAUGGCAGAUUAGGUCGUUGGUGGGAUAAAAGCUUACCAAGCCGACGAUCUGUAGCUGGUCUGAGAGGACGACCAGCCACACUGGGACUGAAACACGGCCCAGAAUCCUACGGGAGGCAGCAGUGGGGAAUUUUGGACAAUGGGCGAAAGCCUGAUCCAGCAAUGCCGCGUGCAGGAUGAAGGCCUUCGGGUUGUAAACUGCUUUUGUACGGAACGAAAAGGCUCUGGCUAAUGCCUGGGGCACAUGACGGUACCGUAAGAAUAAGCACCGGCUAACUACGUG
rnacentral:rRNA from 1 species